rnacentral:rRNA from 1 species
CCAAUAGCGUAUAUUAAAGUUGUUGCAGUUAAAAAGCUCGUAGUUGAAUUUCGGGAUCAGUUGGUCGGUCGUGCCUCGGUACGUACUGGUCAAAUUGAUUCCUACCUUCUGACGAACCACGAUGUCAUUAAUUUGGUGUCGUGGGAAAUCAGGACUGUUACUUUGAAAAAAUUAGAGUGUUUAAAGCAGGCUCGCGCUUGAAUACAUUAGCAUGGAAUAAUGAAAUAGGACGUUUGAUUCUAUUUUGUUGGUUUCUAGGAUCGACGUAAUGAUUAAUAGGGAUAGUUGGGGGCAUUAGUAUUCAAUUGUCAGGGGUGAAAUUCUUGGAUUUAUUGAAGACUAACUACUGCGAAAGCAUUUGCCAAGGAUGUUUUCAUUAAUCAAAAACGAAAGUUAGGGGAUCGAAGACGAUCAGAUACCGUCGUAGUCUUAACCAUAAACUAUGCCGACUAGGGAUCGGAUGAUGUUAAUUUUUUAAUGACUCAUUCGGCGCCUUACG